GAUGAACGCUGGCGGCGUGCCUAAUACAUGCAAGUCGAGCGAACAGACGAGAAGCUUGCUUCUCUGAUGUUAGCGGCGGACGGGUGAGUAACACGUGGAUAACCUACCUAUAAGACUGGGAUAACUUCGGGAAACCGGAGCUAAUACCGGAUAAUAUUUUGAACCGCAUGGUUCAAUAGUGAAAUACGGUUUUUCUGUCACUUAUAGAUGGAUCCGCGAUGCAUUAGCUAGUUGGUAAGGUAACGGCUUACCAAGGCAACGAUGCAUAGCCGACCUGAGAGGGUGAUCGGCCACACUGGAACUGAGACACGGACAAGACUCCUACGGGAGGCAGCAGUAGGGAAUAUUACGCAAUGGGCGAAAGCAUGACGGAGCAACGCCGCGUGAGUGAUGAAGGUCUUCGGAUCGUAAAACUCUGUUAUUAGGGAAGAACAAAUGCGUAAGUAACUGUGCACAUAUUGACGGUAACUAAUCAGAAAGCCACGGCUAACUACGUG
rnacentral:rRNA from 1 species